UAUUAUAAAAACUUUAACCAAAAGCUGUUCCAUCAUGUAAAGGGCGAUAACUUGAAUGUAUACUAGCGCCGUUUAUCAAGCGCCUUUAUACAGUGAUCAUCCACCAUUAAACGUGUUUUCUUGAAUACAAUGGCAUUCCCCGUAUAUCGUAGUGAAAAGGGAAAUUUUGUGACCACUGAAACCUCAAAUGGCAUAUCUAUUUCAGAAAGCUGGGAUUCGAUUUGCAAAAACAAAAGUUUGGGAGUGUUGAGAUAUGAGACGGCUAAUGUGUUGUCUAAAGAUUUGAUUGAACAACUUCCUGCCGAUGUAAUAUGCCUAAUUUGCCUUCAGAAACUGCGUGCAUGUAUAUUCCUUGAAUGUGGACAUCUACUUGUAUGCCAAGAUUGCCAGCAUUUCUACACAUCUUGUCCUGUUUGCCGCAAAAAAAUUAAGUCUUUUGUGCAUACCAUUUUGGAAUUGCCAUUUAGAUCUUAAUCAUGACAGUUACGGGCAUAGAAACUGAAUCUCACGCGCGUAAAACAACGAAGGGUUAAAAUUAAUGUGGACAUUUGUAUAAUAUCAAUUUAACAAUCUGCUUUUAAAACUUGAGAUUUUUUCAGAGGCUGGACAAUUCUGCUUUUCUUUCAUCGCCAUACUUUAUUUUAUUAAACCUACAGUGCAAUAAUGUGCUGCAACGUACAUAUUCAUUUUACUUCAUGCAUAGCUGUGAUCUGUUAAGUGUUAUCUGCUUUGUUUACAUGUUAUCAUAUUUUUUCUCUCAUUUGUUAUUUAUGUCCUCGUUUCAUCGUUUCUAAUUUCUAUCCAUUAUAUAGCUGUAAUUGGUUGUUUAUAACCUACAUGGUAAUGUUUUUUGUAUCGCAAAACAUUAUUAUACACAAAUCAAAUAAUAAUUCUAGUCAAUUACCAUGAAAAGAUGUGAAAAGGUCUCGCAAUCAAAAAUGUAAAUAUGAAUUGGAUAUUUUGUAGGGUCAGAAUUGCUAUAUGUUCCUUCAGGAUCAUUAAGGUGUGCAUGAUUGAAUAACGCUAAAGUCACUCGGUGUUACAGGGUCCGAGAGAUGUUGAGAUUCCCACCUUCUUUCAUUAAAAUGUAGUCUGCGAAUUUCAACUAUUUAUCGUUGCAUUUCAUUGGUAUAUACGAGUCUUCCUUCUCCAGAUUUAUUGCUCAAAAUAGCAAAUGUUGAGUACUGUGUGUAGGAUGUUAAAAUUGACUCUCCCUUCAUAAUUGUGUUGUUAUAUUGUUGAUAGUGUUUAGGAAUGAAUACAAUUGAAAUCGGUGCUAGAGAACGAGAGAGAUGUUGUAAUGUCCGUUAUUCCUCCUGAACAGUCUAAAAAAACUUGUGAUUAUUACCUUUUUAUAUUUUUGUUAAUAUUUCGGGGAUUCUCUUGUCAUGAAGAAUUUAUAACAAUAUUAAAACACUGUUGAAUUUCGUUAGAGAAACGACAAGGAGGAAAAUGUGUUGUUCUUGUUGUUAAAUUAUACAUUUAGCCAGUUAUAGAUUUAUUUCUUGAAAUAAUGCAUUUUAUUACACAACUUUUAUGCUCUCGUUUGAGUGAAAUAAGUUUUCUCAAAAACUAUGUUUGGAAAGCUGUUUUCCCUACUACGGGUCGAGUAAAGUUGGCCAUUUUUUUAAAACAAUGCCAGUUUUCUUAAAGGCACUAUUAUGUCCACCUAGUGUGUAAGUUUAAAACAUAACAUAUCUUUUUUGUGUUAAGCCAAAACAUUUAAUUUAUAUUUACAAAGAGACAGUGUAUAGCUACAUGUAUUUUCAAUAUUUUCACAUAUCAAAUUUUGCAUAUUAUAUCUUUAUAAUUAUGUUAAGUUAGUGCCAAAUGUUUGCCUUUUUUACGAUAAUAGAGAUAUUAUUUCAUUCACUGACAGUAUACAUUGUAUUUAGUGUGAAGAAUGAAUUAGAAAAGAUAUUCAUUUAUUUUAAUAAUUGUUUUUAUAGGGUAAUUAUUAAAAUUGUGUUACGUUUAUAGGGGUAUUUCUUUAAAUAA